rnacentral:rRNA from 1 species
CCCUUAGAUGUUCUGGGCUGCACGCGCGCUACACUGAUGCAUGCAACGAGUUUUCGACCUUGCCUGAAAAGGUUGGGUAAUCUGUUUAACAUGUGUCGUGAUGGGGAUAGACCAUUGCAAUUAUUGAUCUUCAACGAGGAAUUCCUAGUAAGCGCGAGUCAUCAGCUCGUGCUGAUUAUGUCCCUGCCCUUUGUACACACCGCCCGUCGCUCCUACCGAUUGAGUGAUCCGGUGAGGCUUUGGGAUCUGAGCGGAAAGAGCGUUUCGCUGUUUCUGCUCGGAAAACUCAGUCGAACCUUAUCAUUUAGAGGAAGGAGAAGUCGUAACA